CCCUUAGAUGUUCUGGGCCGCACGCGCGCUACACUGAUGCAUUCAACGAGUCUAAAACCUGGUCUGAUAGGGCUGGGUAAUCUUUUGAAUGUGCAUCGUGAUUGGGAUAGAUGAUUGCAAUUCUUCAUCUUCAACGAGGAAUGCCUAGUAAACGCAAGUCAUCAGCUUGCAUUGAUUACGUCCCUGCCCUUUGUACACACCGCCCGUCGCUCCUACCGAUUGAAUGUUCCGAUGAAUACCAUGGAUUGAGAGUAUGAAUGGGUUCGCCUAUUUCUGCUUCUCGGGAAGUGGAGUAAAUCUUAACAUUUAGAGGAAGGAGAAGUCGUAACA
rnacentral:rRNA from 1 species